rnacentral:rRNA from 1 species
GACGAACGCUGGCGGCGUGCCUAAUACAUGCAAGUAGAACGCUGAAGGAGGAGCUUGCUUCUCUGGAUGAGUUGCGAACGGGUGAGUAACGCGUAGGUAACCUGCCUGGUAGCGGGGGAUAACUAGUGGAAACGAUAGCUAAUACCGCAUAAGAGUAGAUGUCGCAUGACAUUUGCUUAAAAGGUGCAAUUGCAUCACUACCAGAUGGACCUGCGUUGUAUUAGCUAGUUGGUGAGGUAACGGCUCACCAAGGCAACGAUACAUAGCCGACCUGAGAGGGGGGUCGGCCACACUGGGACGGAGACACGGCCCAGACUCCUACGGGAGGCAGCAGUAGGGAAUCUUCGGCAAUGGACGGAAGUCUGACCGAGCAACGCCGCGUGAGUGAAGAAGGUUGUCGGAUCGUAAAGCUCUGUUGUAAGAGAAGAACGAGUGUGAGAGUGGAAAGUUCACACUGUGACGGUAUCUUACCAGAAAGGGACGGCUAACUACGUG